GAUGAAGAACGUAGCGAAAUGCGAUAAGUAAUGUGAAUUGCAGAAUUCAGUGAAUCAUCGAAUCUUUGAACGCACAUUGCGCCCGGCAGCAAUCUGCCGGGCAUGUCUGUCCGAGCGUCAUUUCUUCCCUCGAGCGCGGCUAGCCCUACGGGGCCUGCCGUCGCCCGGUGUUGGGGCUCUACGGGUGGGGCUCGUCCCCCCCGCAGUCCCCGAAAUGUAGUGGCGGUCCAGCCGCGGCGCCCCCUGCGUAGUAGAUCCUACAUCUCGCAUCGGGUCCCGGCGAAGGCCAGCCGUCGAACCUUUUAUUUCAUGGUUUGACCUCGGAUCAGGUAGGGUUACCCGCUGAACUUAAGCAUAUCAAUAAGCGGAGGA
rnacentral:misc_RNA from 1 species